GCUUCUCUCCCUAUGCCCUUUUGUUAAGCAGAAUCGAAGAAUCAUGAGGGUUGGAAGGGACCUCUGGAGAUCACCUAAUUCAACCCCGCUGCUAAAGCAGGUGGCAGCAGAUGAACAUCUGUGAAGAAGCCAAUAGCACCAAGCAAAACACAGAAGUUUACCGACAUAAUGUAAAAGAGCAAUUCUGAUGGGGAAAUAUAGAAUGAGCAUAUGUCUGCUCCACAUGGAUAUUAAACUUUGGAUGACAUUUUCUUUAGAAAAGAAAAACAUCUUUUAAUAUUUCCUCUUCUACUGUGGACUAUCUGCUACCCUGUUUGUAAUAAUUUGCGAAUCAUCCUUCAGGCACCACUUAACCUAUCUAAAUGCAAAGAAAUGAAUCUGGAAUACUAUCAAAGCAGAAACUGAAUAAAAAAGAGCCAUUCUGCUUCAGCAGCAACAUAAGAGACCUGGUUUUGAUUAUGCAUGUGAAGUGUUUAAUUUAAACUGCUAAUGGUUAACCAUGUCUGGCCUAAAGCAAUGUAAAUCUAGGAAAAAAAUACAUAAACAAAAGCCCCACCACCUCCCUUUAAUUCCUUCUUCUCUACAGUCAGAGAGAGAGGGGAAAACAUAAUUUUCUGGAAGAUAUGAAUAUUGCUUAUGUGAGAUUUCUUUUAUCAAGAAUGUGCAGAGAAAGAAGGUAAAAACUUUGCAGCUCAUACUGAAAAGCCUAGUGGUAAAAUGAGAGUAUCUCUCAAUUAGACAGAUUUUGUCAGGGAAGCAUAUAGUUACCUAUAUACUCCAAAAGUCUCUACGAAAGUAAUGCCUCCUAUAUAUUUCCAUGGAAACGACAACAGAUACAAGGAGCACAAUUACGCUAUUUGAUAGAGAAAAUUAUCAGCUAAAAACAGUAUUUUUUCAACGUAGUCACCACCAUUAGCUAUGCAUUUUCACCAGCAAUAAGCAAGAGCCUGCAAGCUACACUUGUGAAAAUCUGCACUAGCAGAGGUGAUCCACAAUUUCCACUGUUAAAACACCACUGACUGCCUCACUGCUCACAUCCACUGUUUGGUCUUCAUAAACAUUCAAAAAGUGUCAGUGAGUGUCAAGGGAUACAAUUUCUUCUACAUGAAGGAACUGAAAUCCACACUUUCACUACAUAUGCACUUCUAUGUCAGAAGUCUUUUUGUAAGAGUGCCCAACGUCUGUCUCUCAUGUUGUAGGUGAACAUAAGAAAACAGGAGGCAUUACUUUCAGUGCAGCCCUCAGAAAAAGCAUUUAUUAAAACUGUCUUAGAUGCAUAGGGAUUUUAAUAUGUCUAGGUGUAUAUAGUCAGCUUUGCUCAGAGGAAACCCAGUCUCAGCAUAAAGCCAACUCCAUUUUCCAAGUUAAGUGAAUUUGCCUUUAUUCAAAAGUAUUUUUAAAUAUUUUAUUAAUAAAAUAAACUAACAAAAUAUACUUGCCUUGCAUAAUGAAUAAGCUUUUUUUACUAAGCAUAAAACUAUUUCUACAUUUAAAUUUUUCAAUAGAAUCUCAUUUAAUGAAAGAGAAAUUCUUCUUUUUAUACAGCUUUCAAAAAUUUCCAGAAACGUUCUGGUUUUCAACUUGACAUUUGAUCAGCUAGAAAGAUGGGAAAAUGCCAGUGUAAUAUACCUACCAUAGUAAAUCAAUUUUGUAUUUAACAUUAUAGGAUCCAGACAUUGUGUACCCUUCCAUAAUCAAACUAGUUUAUGUAUGGUUCAAAUAGAAGACAAAUGUUCAAGAUCUUUGCCUAAAGCAUUUGUAUUUCCCAAUGAAAGCAACUGUAGUCAAGGUUGCCUGUUUUUGACAUACAUAAUUCCUAUCCCAGUCC
ensembl:lncRNA